rnacentral:rRNA from 1 species
UACGAAGGGGGCUAGCGUCGUUCGGAAUUACUGGGCGUAAAGCGCGCGUAGGCGGGCGUUUAAGUCAGGGGUGAAAUCCCAGGGCUCAACCCUGGAACUGCCUUUGAUACUGAAUGCCUGGAGUUCGGGAGAGGUGAGUGGAAUUCCGAGUGUAGAGGUGAAAUUCGUAGAUAUUCGGAGGAACACCAGAAGCGAAGGCGGCUCACUGGCUCGAGACUGACGCUGAGGCGCGAAAGCGUGGGGAGCAAACAGG